UGGCUCAGGACGAACGCUGGCGGCGUGCGUAAUACAUGCAAGUCGAACGCUUCUUUUUCCACCGGAGCUUGCUCCACCGGAAAAAGAGGAGUGGCGAACGGGUGAGUAACACGUGGGUAACCUGCCCAUCAGAAGGGGAUAACACUUGGAAACAGGUGCUAAUACCGUAUAACAAUCAAAACCGCAUGGUUUUGAUUUGAAAGGCGCUUUCGGGUGUCGCUGAUGGAUGGACCCGCGGUGCAUUAGCUAGUUGGUGAGGUAACGGCUCACCAAGGCCACGAUGCAUAGCCGACCUGAGAGGGUGAUCGGCCACAUUGGGACUGAGACACGGCCCAAACUCCUACGGGAGGCAGCAGUAGGGAAUCUUCGGCAAUGGACGAAAGUCUGACCGAGCAACGCCGCGUGAGUGAAGAAGGUUUUCGGAUCGUAAAACUCUGUUGUUAGAGAAGAACAAGGAUGAGAGUAACUGUUCAUCCCUUGACGGUAUCUAACCAGAAAGCCACGGCUAACUACGUGCCAGCAGCCGCGGUAAUACGUAGGUGGCAAGCGUUGUCCGGAUUUAUUGGGCGUAAAGCGAGCGCAGGCGGUUUCUUAAGUCUGAUGUGAAAGCCCCCGGCUCAACCGGGGAGGGUCAUUGGAAACUGGGAGACUUGAGUGCAGAAGAGGAGAGUGGAAUUCCAUGUGUAGCGGUGAAAUGCGUAGAUAUAUGGAGGAACACCAGUGGCGAAGGCGGCUCUCUGGUCUG
rnacentral:rRNA from 1 species